ACGGCGAGUGAAGAGGGAAAAGCUCAAGUUUGGAAGCUUCGUGGCAUAGCUACGACGCGUUGUAAACUGAAGUUUUUUGGGUGAUUGGGCGACCGGAUAAAUAAGUCCUUUGGAAAGGGGCAACAUAGAGGGUGACAUUCCCGUCUUUGGUCCGAGUCAGUGCAGUCGCUGCCCAGGAAACGACGAGUCAGGUUGUUUGGGAAUGCAGCCUAAAAUGGGAGGUAAAUCUCUCCUAAAGCUAAAUACUGGCGUAAGACCGAUAGCGAACAAGUACCGUGAGGGAAAGAUGAAAAGGACUUUGAAAAGAGGGUCAAAUAGUACGUGAAAUUGUUGAAAGGGAACCGUAUGAAAGUAGACUGGCUUGGUGAUGAUCAAUGUGUGUUUCGGCACGCAUGCACUCAUUGCCUUUGCCAGCCAGCGGCAGUUUUUGCUAAAGGAAGAAAAUCAGGGGAAUGUAGCUUCGAUUUCGGUUGAAGUGUUAUAGCUCCUGGUAAAAUACUUUGGCAGAGACUGAGGCUAGCAGCGGAUCUUUGGGAACUUUGCGCGCUUGUCGUCCAAUGGUUAAGUUUUCUUCGGAUGCUUGGUCAUUGGGUGGCAACUCGUGUGAUGCUUCACCCUUCCGCUUAGGUCG
rnacentral:rRNA from 1 species